rnacentral:tRNA from 1 species
GCCGGAAUAGCACAGUGGUAGUGCAGCGGUUUUGUAAACCGAAGGUCGGGGGUUCAAAUCCCUCUUCCGGCACCA